CCCUUAGAUGUUCUGGGCCGCACGCGUGCUACACUGAGUGGAUCAGCGGGUCAGGUUACGCGAGAGCGUUUCCUAAUCUUCAAAUCCGCUCGUGAUGGGGAUUGGCGGUUGCAAUUUUCCGUCAUGAACGAGGAAUACCUUGUAAGCGCGGGUCAUCAUCCCGCGCUGAAUACGUCCCUGCCCUUUGUACACACCGCCCGUCGCUCCUACCGAUUGAGUGGUCCGGUGAGGCUUUGGGAUCUAAGCGAAAAGAGCGUUUCGCUCCUUUUGCUGGGAGAACUCAGUCGAACCUUAUCAUUUAGAGGAAGGAGAAGUCGUAACA
rnacentral:rRNA from 1 species